CAGCAGUAGCCACGGGAAUACGUAGGUGGCAAGCGUUGUCCGGAAUUAUUGGGCGUAAAGGGCUCGCAGGCGGUUUCUUAAGUCUGAUGUGAAAGUCCCCGGCUCAACCGGGGAGGGUCAUUGGAAACUGGGAAACUUGAGUGCAGAAGAGGAGAGUGGAACUCCACGUGUAGCGGUGAAAUGCGUAGAGAUGUGGAGGAACACCAGUGGCGAAGGCGACUCUCUGGUCUGUAACUGACGCUGAGGAGCGAAAGCGUGGGGAGCGAACAGGAUUAGAUACCCCCGUAGUCCCUGUCUCUUAUAA
rnacentral:rRNA from 1 species